rnacentral:tRNA from 1 species
UAGUUUAAUUGUAGGAUUCCGGUUUUGGGG